CUAGCUGACCCCGUGUUGUUCUGUGUCCCCGACGGCUAGCUGCGCAGCGGGCGGAGGAGGAGCUGAGGAAGGUGGAGGAGGCCUACGACAUCGCCAACACGGAGAUCAGUGACCUGAAGGAGAGGCUGAACGCAGACUACGGCCCAGAGAGGGAGUUCCUGUACCUCAGCAGCCAAUGCUUCCAGCUCAAGGUGUACGACGAGUACACCUACACCCUGUGUCCCUUCAACCAGGUCUCCCAGACCAGCGAUGCUGGGACUGAGUUCUUGCUAGGGUAAGUGGGCGGAUGACAGUUUACUUUAGUUGGGUGGUUUAUAAAUCAGGGACAAGCUACAGUAAUGCAUGUGUCCCAAGGUCACAGAAGUAUUGUACCGGAUGAGGCAUCCUGCUCAUUUUCAGAUCUUCAUAUCGCCCUACGUAUAAUAUAGAAUAUAACAGGCUAGAAUACAACAUAACAUAAAACAUUUCAUCUUAGCUACAGAAGGAACACAACAAAACUCACUUGCUCACACACACACACACACACACACACACACACACAUAAACACACAAAAACACGCAGACGCACACACAAAGGUAUCAGAUAUAGUUAUGUGGAUUUGUUACUUUUACAUUGUUUAAGCGUCACUGGAGAAACAUAUGUAAAUCGGCAGAUUUUAAGGUCGUUGGGGAGUUUACAAACACACACGCACACACACACACACACACACACACAGACACAGACACACACACACACAUCUACCUACGAUGCAGCAGCAGGGGGUGACGGUGACUAUAUCUACAUGAUUUUAUCCGUGUUCCCUCUGCAGUCGUCUGGCGUUUCAUCCCACUGCGCUCUCUGUGCUCGUUUGUCUGCUCAUUAGCGAGGGGAGCUGUGGGACUUUGAACCCAAAAAGAAUCUCAGCGUUUUUAAUUAUUUUUGCUUUGUAUAUUUUAGAGCCAAGAUACAAAAAAAACACCUUUGUUUGGUUUUUUGUCGUCGCUUUCUUUCAAUGAGCGCCUCCUCCGCUGGCGGUGAGAGACUUCGGUGCCUCCGCUAACAACCUGAAUCCACACGGGGCUUUUCAUUUACGGAGAUCCGAACCCACCUCUAGGCGCACCCCAACCGGUUCAGACUCCACCCUGAACCCACGUCGCCGCCGCCGCCGCCGCCACCGCAAAGUCUGUAUAAAGUUACCCGGGCGGAGACGUUUUCGCUAUGGAUUUUUUUUUCUCGGGUUUCAUUUUUCCGUUGUUUUUAUUUUUAUCGCCAUUCAAUCCGAUGUUCCGCGUCACAUGACCCUCCGAUCGAUGGCGGAGGGAUCUCCGUUACGCCGUGAAUACCUCCCCGU